rnacentral:rRNA from 1 species
GAUGAACGCUGGCGGCGUGCCUAAUACAUGCAAGUCGAACGGACGGACGAGAAGCUUGCGGCUCUGAUGUUAGCGGCGGACGGGUGAGUAACGCGUGGAUAAUCUCCCUGUCAGUCUGGGAUAACUUCGGGACACCGGAGCUUAUCCCGUAUAAUAUCUUGAACCGCGUGGUGCAGAGGUGAAAUACGGUGUUGGGGGCUGGUCUAGCGGCAUCCGCGCUGCAUGAGGUAGUUGGUAGGGUAACGGCUUUCCAAGGCAAGGAUGCAUAACCGACCGGAGAGGGUGAUCGGCGACAUGGGAGCGGGAACGCGGUCAAGGCUCCUACGGGAGGCAGCAGUAGGGAAUCUUCCGCAAUGGGCGAAAGCCUGACGGAGCAACGGCACGUGAGUUAUGAAGGUGUUCGGAUCGUAAAGCUCUGUUAUGAGGGAAGAACAUAUGUGUAAGGAACUGUGGAGAGCUUGACGGUACCGAGUCAGAAAGCCACGGCUAACUACGUG